AGGCGGCGGCCGCCGGCCCCCGGCCCCGAACCUGUCACACCCGGGGAGCCGGCCGGCAGCGGCGGGCGCGUCCAGGCGCUAGGACUGCCCCGCUCGCCCGCGGACGCCGGGCCCAGCCGGGUGAGCCGGCCCCGCCGCGCCGGCAGGGGGCGGGGAGAUGAGCGGCGGCCCCGAGGCAGCGCCCCAGGUAGACGCGCCGCCCCUCGCGCCUCGAGGCGACCCCGCGCCCCCGAAGUCGCACGCUGCACGCCGCGCGCGGCCGGGGAAGUCGCGGAGCGCGCGGGGCGCCUCGCAUUGAUCGCGCCUUUCGCCUUUCCGCAGCAUGGGCACGGACGCCCGGCUCUGCCAGCGGGAACUGGGGCUCCGGUGAAGUAGGAGCCGCCGCCGCCGCCGCCGGCCGGCCGCCCGCCCCGAGCCGCCCCGCUCCGCCUCGGCCAUGGCCGGGUCGGGCGCGUGGAAGCGCUUCAAGUCGCUGCUGCGGAGGGAGGAUGCGCCGCUCUUUCUCAAUGACACCAGCGCCUUCGACUUCGCCGACGACGCGGCCGACGAGGGGCUCUCUCGGUUUAACAAACUUCGGGUGGUGGUGGCCGACGACGGGUCGGAAGCCCCGGAAAGGCCUGUUAACGGGGUGCACCCGGCCCUCCAGGCCGACGACGAUUCCUUGCUGGACCAGGACCUGCCCCUGGCCAACAGCCGGCUGAGCCUGAAGGUGGACCCCUGCGACAACUGCAGCCGACAGCGAGAGUCGCUCAAGCAGAGAAGGGUGAAAACCCGCCUGACCGUCGCGGCGCUCCUGUACCUGCUGUUCAUGAUCGGAGAACUUGUCGGUGGAUACAUUGCAAACAGCCUCGCAAUCAUGACAGAUGCACUUCACAUGUUAACUGACCUAAGUGCCAUCAUACUGACCCUGCUUGCUUUAUGGCUGUCUUCAAAAUCGCCAACCAAAAGAUUCACCUUUGGAUUUCAUCGCUUGGAGGUUUUGUCAGCCAUGAUUAGUGUGCUGUUGGUAUAUAUACUUAUGGGAUUUCUCCUGUAUGAAGCUGUCCAAAGAACUAUUCAUAUGCAAUAUGAAAUAAAUGGAGAUAUAAUGCUCAUUACUGCAGCUAUUGGAGUUGCAGUUAACAUAAUAAUGGGGUUCCUCUUGAAACAGUCUGGUCACCAUCAUGCUCAUUCCCACUCCUUGCCUUCAAGUUCUUCUACCAUAAGUUCUAGGUGUGGACACAACCAGGAUAGCCUAGCAGUGAGAGCUGCAUUUGUACAUGCCUUGGGGGAUUUGGUACAGAGUGUUGGUGUGCUAAUUGCUGCAUACAUUAUACGAUUCAAGCCAGAAUACAAGAUUGCUGAUCCCAUCUGUACCUAUGUAUUUUCAUUACUUGUGGCUUUUACAACAUUUCGCAUCAUAUGGGACACCGUGGUUAUAAUACUAGAAGGUGUACCAAGCCACUUGAAUAUAGAUUAUAUCAAAGAAAGCUUGAUGAAAAUAGAAGAUGUAUAUUCAGUAGAAGAUUUAAAUAUCUGGUCUCUCACUUCAGGAAAGCCUACUGCCAUAGUACACCUACAGCUAAUUCCUGGAAGUUCACCUAAAUGGGAGGAAGUACAAUUCAAAGCAAAGCAUUUAUUAUUGAACACAUUUGGCAUGUAUAAAUGUACUAUUCAGCUUCAGAGUUACAGGCAAGAAGUGGACAGAAUUUGUGCAAACUGUCAGAGUUCCUGUCCCUAAUUCUAUGUCUGGGGGACUACUGCCUUAUUUAUCCUGCAGUCAUUGAGAGCAAUAAAUGCAAAUCUAAAUGAGAAGAUGGGAUUCCUGACAGCUGUAUCCAUAGAAGGAUGUGACCUUGGCAUCUAUAACCAGAGACUGCACCCUCUGACACAGAACCUCGAGUUUGUCCUUCACCUGCUGAGCCCAGCCAACUCUAAGAAAGAAGUCUCCGUGUCAUGGAAAAAGCAGUAGCUGUGUUUGUGUAAACACAGAGCAUUAUUUUGCACUGGGAAAAGAAAUCACACUGGAACAACAGAACACAAUGCAAAAAAGUGGGGGGGAACUGGGCAGUUAAUCAGUGGGAUGUAUUUUAAUAAACAUUUUCAAAUAAUCUGAGUUUAUUGUCUAUAUAAAUCUCUUUCACAACUCUCACCAGUUGCAGCCUUUUGAUGAUUAUUUUGAAAAGAUGCCUAUGGUUUCAUUAACAAUAACAUUGCCUUACGAAGACAGUAAAGGGAAUAUAGUUGAAUGAAGUUUAUUUCAGAGAACCUUGAAAUGCAGAACUCGAAGCAAUUGUAAUUCCUACAUUUUCCAUUAAUUAUGCCUUGUGUAAUGUUAACCCAGAUUUUCACAACUUAGAGUUCCCAUGAGUAUUGCUUGCCAAAUCAUUGAGCUACUUAUUUUGUGACUUUGUCUUCACUUAAGGUGCUGCAUUUUCAUUUUCUAAAACCAGAUUUCCUGCUUUUGGGGUCACAGUGGUCUGGUUCUGUAUCUUGAACCCAUAUGCCAUCCCUGAUAGUGUUUUCUUUAGCAGUCUUCUGAGAAACGGACACAAACAAGAUCAGAUACAUGAACUUCCCUUUUGUUUUAAUGUGGGGAAAAUCAUCUUUCAAAGAUAAUAUAGCUUAGAAAUGUGUUUCUAGAUGGGGAAAAAUCUUUAAUAGCUAGUUGUUCCUGUUUUACUCUCUACACACAGAAAUUUAUAGAAUAAGUAUAAUAAAUGGAAACAGACUGUCUUGUGCAGCCGGAUUCAAGAUCAUCGCCGGUGAGGCUGGAUUGAGUUUCUCAAACAACCACUGUCACUACUUGAGAAGCAUAGUUACUUCUGAAACACAACUAAAUUUAUUUUCUUUAUAUUGCUUCACUGUAAUAAGGUUUUCUCAGAGAACUUGAUCCCCUGUGGAAUAAGGAUUUAGGCUGUUUUGUUAUAGACGCUACUUUAUAAUAUAUUUUUUUAAAAGUCACAGAACGUGUUCCUGAAUUUGGCCAGUUUGUUUGGCUCAAUUUAUCUUGUCCUGAGCAUAGCCAUGAGCCAGUGGUAUUAGUCACAAGUGGAUAGUGACAUCUCAUGAUAUGCUGUGUUGAGGAAAGGUAAAUCUGAUCUCCUUAACUACAGGUCUGUCCUGUGAAGCCCAUGAGACAAGGCUUUAGAGUUGUCCGACAGAUCAUCAGAUGCUUUUUGUGACAUUGGUAGGAGCAGGCAAAUUGGGGAGUUUUUCGGUAUUGUGUGUGUGCACACUCAUUCACAACUGGCUUAAUUUCUUUGCAAUCAUAUUGUGUGGACCAACAAAUACUGAAAACAUUUAUGAAAAAUUUCCCAGUUAAAUCUAUGAUUGUCAAUUUUAUAUGUACAAUUCUGAACUGCAAUACAAAACAAAUGUAUCAGUAUGUCAGUUUUGCACCUAAACGAGUAUAUUUGGAAAGCAUAUGCUUCUCCAAAUACAUUUUAUUAAGUAAGCCAUAUCACAGUUUAAGAACUUGUAUAUACUUUACCAUAUGGUCCUUCAGAAACCAGAUAUUUUGCAUAGAAUUGGUUUUAGAAAGAUUCUAUAGUUGGAUUUUGUCCUUGUAAUUUAAGAUCAAAAUAUAUUUACUGAAUUUGCAAUUUUCAAAAUGUAAUUUCCUAUACACUUAUUAAAUAUUGUUUGCUGUGUAUUUUAUUAAAAAUGAAAAUGUAGAGUUCCUCAAUUUUUACUAAUACUAGUUGGUCUUAAAACAUCUCUUUAAAAAGAUUGGAAAAUUGGAAAAUUUGGAAAUUUUCUUUCUUUGGAAAAUUGAUUGUAAUACUUUCUUAGAUAUUUAAAAAAUCUGAAAAAAAACUCAGAUAACAAAGUCAGAUUUUAGAAACUUUUUAUCUCUGUCAGUCAUGUUUAACAUCCCUGCGGUCUCUGCAACACACCCCAGCAACAAAAAGGAAAGAAGCCAUUGCAAAAGAGUGGCGAGGACUGAUACGAAGCCUGAGAGGGGUGCCCUGCACCUGGGCCAUGAGGCCACCUCUGGCCCCCAGCCUGCACUGUAUGACCUGAAAAGUUCAGAAUGGUUUCUACCUUUUUAAAUAGUAUUUUAAAAUUAAAUAUUUCCUGAUAUGAAAAUUAUGUGAAUUUUAAAUUUUGCUGUCUACAAAUAAAGUAUUUCCAGAAAG